UACGUAGGGUGCAAGCGUUAAUCGGAAUUACUGGGCGUAAAGCGUGCGCAGGCGGUUAUAUAAGACAGUUGUGAAAUCCCCGGGCUCAACCUGGGAACUGCAUCUGUGACUGUAUAGCUAGAGUACGGUAGAGGGGGAUGGAAUUCCGCGUGUAGCAGUGAAAUGCGUAGAUAUGCGGAGGAACACCGAUGGCGAAGGCAAUCCCCUGGACCUGUACUGACGCUCAUGCACGAAAGCGUGGGGAGCAAACAGGAUUA
rnacentral:rRNA from 1 species